UACGGGGGGGGCAAGCGUUGUUCGGAAUUACUGGGCGUAAAGCGCGCGCAGGUGGGUGAACAAGUCGGAAGUGAAAUCUUGAGGCUCAACCUCGAGGCUGCUCCCGAAACUGUUCGCCUAGGGACUGGUAGAGGCUGGUAGAAUUCCCGGUGUAGUGGUGAAAUGCGUAGAUAUCGGGAGGAACACCAGUGGCGAAGGCGACUACCUGCCUGGUUCUUGACGCUGAGGCGCGAAAGCUAGGGGAGCAACGGGG
rnacentral:rRNA from 1 species